rnacentral:rRNA from 1 species
GGGGAAUUUUGGACAAUGGGGGCAACCCUGAUCCAGCCAUGCCGCGUGAGUGAAGAAGGCCUUCGGGUUGUAAAGCUCUUUCGGACGGAAAGAAAUCGCCGCCUCUAACAUAGGCGGUGGAUGACGGUACCGUAAGAAGAAGCACCGGCUAACUACGUGCCAGCAGCCGCGGUAAUACGUAGGGUGCGAGCGUUAAUCGGAAUUACUGGGCGUAAAGCGUGCGCAGGCGGUUUGGUAAGACAGGUGUGAAAUCCCCGGGCUUAACCUGGGAACUGCGCUUGGGACUGCCAGGCUAGAGUACGGCAGAGGGGGGUGGAAUUCCGAGUGUAGAGGUGAAAUUCGUAGAUAUUCGGAAGAACACCAGUGGCGAAGGCGGCCAACUGGCUCGAUACUGACGCUGAGGUGCGAAAGCGUGGGGAGCAAACA